GAUCAAGUGUCUUAAGGGCAAUUGGUGGAUGCCUUGGCAUGCACAGGCGAUGAAGGACGUGAUACGCUGCGAUAAGCUACGGGGAGGUGCGAAUACCCUUUGAUCCGUAGAUUUCCGAAUGGGGAAACCCACCUAAGGUGCUUGGAAAAUCAGAGCAGCCAGUGGUCGAAAGGCCAACUUGCUGCUGUGGUUUCCAAGGAUCUGUUAUAGGUAACUUAUCCUGAAUACAUAGGGAUAAAGUGGCGAACGCGGGGAACUGAAACAUCUAAGUACCCGUAGGAAAGGACAUCAACCGAGACUCCGGCAGUAGUGGCGAGCGAACCCGGACCAGGCCAGUGGCGAUGAUGAGACAAGCGGAACCUUCUGGAAAGUAGGGCCAUAGUGGGUGACAGCCCCGUACGCGUAAUGCAAAUCAUCGUCCUCGAGUAAGGCGGGACACGUGAAAUCCUGUCUGAAAUUGGGGGGACCACCCUCCAAGCCUAAGUACUCGUGCAUGACCGAUAGCGAACUAGUACCGUGAGGGAAAGGUGAAAAGCACCCCGACAAGGGGAGUGAAAGAGUACCUGAAACCGAUUGCCUACAAACAGUGGGAGUCCAAGGUUCGUCCUGGGUGACCACGUACCUUUUGUAUAAUGGGUCAGCGACUUAGUGUGACGAGCAAGCUUAAACCGCUAGGUGUAGGCGCAGCGAAAGCGAGUCUGAACAGGGCGUUCAGUUCGUCGCAUUAGACCCGAAACCGAGUGAUCUAGCCAUGAGCAGGUUGAAGGUAAGGUAACACUUACUGGAGGACCGAACCCAUAACUGUUGCAAUAGUUCGGGAUGACUUGUGGCUAGGGGUGAAAGGCCAAUCAAACUCGGAAAUAGCUGGUUCUCCGCGAAAUCUAUUUAGGUAGAGCGUCGACCGAAUACCCCAGGGGGUAGAGCACUGGAUGGGCUAGGGGUCCUCACCGGAUUACCAAACCUAACCAAACUCCGAAUACCUGGGAGUACUAGUCGGCAGACACACGGCGGGUGCUAACGUCCGUCGUGAAAAGGGAAACAACCCUGACCUACAGCUAAGGUCCCCAAGUUAUGGCUAAGUGGGAAAGGAUGUGAGGAUCCCAAAACAACCAGGAUGUUGGCUUAGAAGCAGCCAUCAUUUAAAGAAAGCGUAACAGCUCACUGGUCUAAAUAAGGGUCUUUGCGCCGAAAAUGUAACGGGGCUCAAGCCAUACACCGAAGCUUAGGGUUCGUGAGCAAUCACGAGCGGUAGCGGAGCGUUCUGUAAGCUGAUGAAGCCAUACCCGUGAGGGGUGGUGGAGGUAUCAGAAGUGCGAAUGCUGACAUGAGUAACGUAAGGGGAGUGAGAGACUCCCCCGCCGAAAGUCCAAGGGUUCCUGCUUAAAGCUAAUCUGAGCAGGGUUAGCCGGCCCCUAAGUCGAGGCAGAAAUGCGUAGACGAUGGGAACCACGUUAAUAUUCGUGGGCCUGGAGGAAGUGACGGAUCAUUGAGGUAGUCCAAUCUUAUCGGAUUGAACGGGCUGCUGCGUGGUUCCAGGAAAUAGCUCCUCCUUAUAGACCGUACCCGAAACCGACACUGGUGGACUGGUAGAGUAUACCAAGGCGCUUGAGAGAACUAUGCUGAAGGAACUCGGCAAAUUGCACGCGUAACUUCGGAAGAAGCGUGACCCUUUUCCACGCAAGUGGAGGAGGGUGGCACAGACCAGGGGGUAGCGACUGUUUAUCAAAAACACAGGGCUCUGCGAAGUCGCAAGACGACGUAUAGGGUCUGACGCCUGCCCGGUGCUGGAAGGUUAAGAGGAGGGGUGCAAGCUCUGAAUCGAAGCCCCAGUAAACGGCGGCCGUAACUAUAACGGUCCUAAGGUAGCGAAAUUCCUUGUCGGGUAAGUUCCGACCUGCACGAAUGGCGUAACGACUUCCCCGCUGUCUCCAGCAUAGACUCAGUGAAAUUGAAUUCCCCGUGAAGAUGCGGGGUUCCUGCGGUUAGACGGAAAGACCCCGUGCACCUUUACUAUAGCUUUACAUUGGCAUUCGUAGUGGCAUGUGUAGGAUAGGUGGUAGGCUUUGAAACCUGGGCGCCAGCUCAGGUGGAGCCACCCUUGAAAUACCACCCUUAUCACUAUGGAUGUCUAACCGCGGCCCGUCAUCCGGGUCCGGGACAAUGUAUGGUGGGUAGUUUGACUGGGGCGGUCGCCUCCUAAAGAGUAACGGAGGCGCGCGAUGGUGGGCUCAGAACGGUCGGAAAUCGUUCGCUGAGUGCAAUGGCAUAAGCCUGCCUGACUGCGAGACUGACAAGUCGAGCAGAGACGAAAGUCGGUCAUAGUGAUCCGGUGGUCCCGCGUGGAAGGGCCAUCGCUCAACGGAUAAAAGGUACGCCGGGGAUAACAGGCUGAUGACCCCCAAGAGUCCAUAUCGACGGGGUUGUUUGGCACCUCGAUGUCGACUCAUCGCAUCCUGGGGCUGGAGCAGGUCCCAAGGGUAUGGCUGUUCGCCAUUUAAAGCGGUACGUGAGUUGGGUUCAGAACGUCGUGAGACAGUUCGGUCCCUAUCUGCCGUGGGUGUAGGAAUAUUGAAAGGAUCUGUCCCUAGUACGAGAGGACCGGGAUGGACGGAUCUCUGGUGGACCUGUUGUGGCGCCAGCCGCAUAGCAGGGUAGCUAUAUCCGGACGGGAUAACCGCUGAAGGCAUCUAAGCGGGAAACCCACCUUAAAACGAGUAUUCCCUGAGAACCGUGGAAGACGACCACGUUGAUAGGCCGGGUGUGGAAGAGCGGCAACGCUUGAAGCUUACCGGUACUAAUAGUUCGAUCGGCUUGAUCGUUCUCAUU
rnacentral:rRNA from 1 species